rnacentral:rRNA from 1 species
CCUACUGGUGGCUGCAGUGGGGAAUAUUGGGCAAUGGAGGCAACUCUGACCCAGCAAUGCCGCGUGCGUGAUGAAGGUAAUUUUAUUGUAAAGCUCUUUUCUUUUGAACGAAUAAAUGACGGUACCAACGGAAUAAUCCCCGUCUAACUACGUGCCAACAGCCGCGGUUAUACGUAGGGGGCAAGCGUUGUUCGGAAUGACUGGGCCGAACGGGUGUGUAGGUGGUUUGAUAAGUUAGAUGUGUAAUACCCAGGGCUUAACUCGGGUUCUGCAUCUAAAACUGUUAGACUGGAGUACUGGAGAGGAUAGUGGAAUUCCUAGUGUAGCGGUGGAAUGCGGAGAUAUUAGGAGGAACAUCAGUGGCGAAGGCGACUAUCUGGACAGCAACUGACACUGAGGCACGAAAGCGUGGGGAGCAAACAGGAUUAGAGACCCUGGUAGUC